GGAUGUGAGAAUGAUCUGGUUGUGUUGUCUGUUACCCCAUCCAUUGCCAAGGUUGAUUCAGUUGAUUUGGCUGGCUAGGCAGGCAGAUGUCCUCUUCCUCCCUCACCGUUCCAUGUGGGUCCCUCCCAAAGCUGUGCACUCAGUCUAAGAGGACAACGUUCCCAGAAUAGACAUAGGCUUGUCUUUGGUAUAUGAAUAGCUGCACUUAUUGCUGGAACCUCCAAACAAACUCAGAAAUGUCUAUACAAAUCUUUUUCCAUUUUGCUAUUUUUAUUGUAAGAGUUUGUUAUUAUAUUUUGAAUGCAAAUCCCUUACCAAGUAUGUGCUU
rnacentral:snRNA from 1 species